CUGUGGAGAGAACUGUCCCAGCUCUCAUAUUGGCAGAGAGGUAAUUUGUCAUCCUGUGGCCCAGUGACUGGCACGCUAGCAUCUCUAAAGCCAAACAGAAGCUCAGCAAUCUGUCUCACAUGAGAAUAGCUGAAAGCUAUUGGAGGCAUUUGUGUGGUUCACCUUGGCACACCAAAGAGAAAUUACACUAGUCCACAGCAUCCUUGAGAUAACCUCUGCAAAGAUUUGGGGGAAGAGUUUCUGAAAGUCAGUUUAACCCUGAAGACGGCAGCUAGGAAGCACAUUUACAUUGCAGUAUUUUGGAGUUUGAAUCUGGCCGUUUCUUCACCGUGAAGGUGUUUUCAAAGAUCCUCUGCUUUCAGAGAUAUAUGCCUCCUGAUGAGUGUGAUCUUCUAGACUGUGACAGUUGAAUAAUAGGAGAACCAGUAAAUGCUCUCUCUCUUUGCCUCUGGUUCCUGCUGCCAGAUGGAGCAUUUCAUGUCCCAGCAGUAUAUGCUCCUGGUUCCUCAACACUUUCUGCACAAGGGACAAGGA